UACGAAGGUGGCAAGCGUUACUCGGAAUUACUAGGCGUAAAGCGCAGGUAGGCGGUUCGAUAAGUCUUUUGUGAAAGCUCCCGGCUUAACUGGGAGAGGUCAAGAGAAACUGUCGGGCUAGAGUGUGGUAGAGGAAACUGGAAUUCCCGGUGUAGCGGUGAAAUGCGUAGAUAUCGGGAGGAAUACCUAUGGCGAAAGCAGGUUUCUGGGCCAUCACUGACGCUGAGCUGCGAAAGCUAGGGGAGCAAACAGG
rnacentral:rRNA from 1 species